UUGGCGAUGUUGUCGUGUUCACUUCAUCUGAAAUAUAUCUUUCAUGCUCCAAGCUACAUUUUUUUAUUACUGUUGUUCUGUUCUUCAUCAGCUGGAAGAAGAGACUUGGGUAGAUCAAGCAAUAUACCACAACGGUCAUAGAAGUGGCAAUCCAAUCAGAUCGAAUUAGAUAACGAUUGAAUUGAAUACAAUAUAGAUCAAAGUAUA
rnacentral:lncRNA from 1 species